ACGCAAACAAUAUAGAGAGGGUAAACGCUUCACAGGGGUCUUCAGGUGGGCACCCUCCUUCUUUGGUGUUUCGUUGAAAGGCCCACGACACCUCCAGAG